CCGCUUACAGAGGGGAAAACCGGGGCGCUCAGCAGGUAAGAGUGUGGCGUGGUUCCCGGAAGCAGGGAGCGGCAGAAUCCUGGGCAGGAGCAAAAGAGAGGCAGGACCUCUGAGUUAAACGUCCUUCCUUGGGGAGAGAGCGGGUCAUUCACUCGCUUCUUAGUUUUUAAUUCAUCAUCCAUCCAUCCAUUCAACAUUGAUAAAACACUGAUCAUGCGCUGCGUGCCCCAGUGCUCACGAGAAUAACCACGAACGAGACAGACAAGGAGCCUGCCCUCAGGGAGCUCUCAUUCUGCUGCAGGCUGAAGCUGUGGGCAAUUUGCAGCCCCUUGGCCUCUUACAGUCGUGGCUAUGAACGUAAUAACCCCGCGAGUAGGACCCUCACCAAGUGCCACGCCCUGUACUGACCUCCCAGCGCAUUUCCACGAGAUAGCUGAGAAAGGAAGAGCUGUUCAUUUUGCAGUUGAGGCUUCAAAGGGCUGAAGUGCCCCAGCCCACAUGUAGUGAAGGCAGGAUUCAGGCAAUUACAGACGGUUAGUCCACUUGUUCACUCAAGAAGCCAGUCCAGCAGGAGGACACUCCCCCUGGUGGCCCGCUGGGGGCCCAUAAGAGGGGCAAGGCCUCUGUGGCCCAGGCUCCCUGGAAGGCAGGAGUGUGCAGGUGGAGCCCCUCAUCCUGGGAGCUGGGAGUCUUGGGUGGGAAUAUCUUCGCCAGCCUCAAGCAGAACCUUCUGGGAGAAGGUGGAGGGCCCAGUUCUCCAGGCCCUGGAGGCCAGGCUCACCUUACUCCCUCCGCUCUAGCUUCGCGGGUCUCGCCAUCCUCUUUCCAAGGCACCAAGCUGUUUCCCAUCCCUGGGCCUUUACCUGUGCUGUUCCCUCCCUCAUCUCCACCCAGCACAGUCCCCUUUGUUAUUCUCCGGCCUUUGUUAUGCCGUGCAGAAUUGUACACUUGCAAGUGCCUGUGAUGUGUGGGUAUUGAAUGAAUGAAUGAAUGGGCAGACUGCACCCUAGCCACAUGGCCAGCACCAGGAGGUGAGUUGAGGGUUAAGUAAGAGUGGACAGAGAGGCAGAGGGCUCUCCGGUUCCAGGCUGGCUCCCCAGAGGCCAGAGCCAAACAGCACAGAACAGCUCCCGAGUCUGCUCAGCGCUGCCCUCAGGGCCUCCAGGCCUCCUGCCCCGCCAGCCACACCUGGGAGCCCAGGGUGAAAGGUGGCAGGGUCUUCCCACAGAGCCAGUUUCGGUGGCCGCUGUGGUCUCAGCCUCAAGUGGCCGAAGACCUCAUUAGUGGUGAGGACAUGGGAGGGGCAGGCUUGGAGCCCCAGAGCCAGAGCUGACAAAGAGAUGACAGGAGAAGCAGGGACACUUUGGGGGAAAAGAUUCUGGAAGGAAAAAAUGGUGAGGGGGGAAUGCAGCAUAGCAUAGAAGGCGAGAGUCAGACUGCCAGGUUCCAUGCAGCCUUUCCUACUGGCUGGCUUUAGAAAAGCAGCCAAACCUCUCUGUCCCACAGUUCUGUCAUCUAUAAAAAGACAACUGACUUUGGAUCUUGGGCAACUGACUGUAUUUCUGUGAGCCUCAGGCUCCUGGUUUUCACAGGGACAGCCCACCUCUGGGGGGCUGGGAAUAGGUCACCUGAGCCCAGCCAUUCACUUUGCCCAGAGUUGCUUCAGUACCAUCAAUAGCAAUGAAUAAAGAGUAACAGCGACAAACCCCAUUCUGGGCACUAUAUGUGCAUAAAUGCAUUUUAACCCCCAUGUUAAGAUGGGGAAACUGAGGCACCGAGUGGCCCAUGUGCACAGAAAUCACCUGGGGGCGAUGGUGGUGGUGGUAGCGGUGGGCGGGGGCAGGGUCUUGUUAAAACGUAGAUUCUGACUCUGCUGGUCUGGGCCUGAGGUUUUGCGUUUCUCACAAGCUCUCAGGUGGUACUGAUGGUUUGGGGACCACACUUUGAGCAGCAAGGGGCUAAGGUAUUUGCUAGAGAUCACUGGUGGUGAGCACCAAACCCGGGUUCAAGCCCUGCACUUAAGCUCUCCCCAGGCCGCCUGCCCCCAGCCCCCGCUUUCUCCCCUGCAAAGAGGCAGGAAGUGCAGCUCCCCUCCCCAAGCCCGUUUCCUCUCUAGGGGCCCCUACCACCUCCCUCCAUGGGUGACAUCUGGCCCAUAGAACCUCCCUGCCCCCAGCGUCCCAGGGGUCCUCCUUGUCCACAACAUGAAGAUUUUCAGAUGCUCAUUAGCCAAGAAGAUAAUUAAGGGCGAGGGAUGAGCUCACCCUGGCUCCCCGGGGCUUGCUGGGGCCCAGCUGGGCCUGCCCUGUGUCAGCCUGGCCCUGUGCCUGCUUCCCUUGGGGCGCUGGGGGGGCUGGCACAGGGAGGGGCCUGCUAGAGAGUGGAGAGGCCUCAUCCAGCCUUGGGGAGACUCCAGCUGGGCCUCCCUGCCCAGCCAGCCCAUGGCUCUUAGGGUUCCAGGCCCAAAAAUGAAAUGAAAACUGCUUGGCCAGAGGGAGGUUCCCCAAAGGUGAGAGGUGAGCCACUGGUGAGUUCUGCCGGGGCGGCUUUACCAUCUCUCUCUGUCUCUCUGUCUCUGUCUCUCUGUCUCUGUCUCUCUGUCUCUCUGUCUCUCUGUCUCUCUGUCUCUCUGUCUCUCUCUCUCUCUCUCUCUCUCUCACUGGCUUGGCCCCCUUAUAACUGGGAGGGAGCAGACCUCCUGCCCACGGUCUUGGGCAGUGCACACUCGAGCUGGCAUUUAGAUGAUGUUGUUUUUCUGCAGUUGAUGUUACUUCCUAUUUUUGGCACAGAUACUGCUUUUCCAUGUAUGAUACUGACAUACCCAUUCCUUUUUAUUUAUUUUUUAUUUUUGUAAUUUAAAAAAGUUUAAACAUUUUUUUUUUCGCCUCAUCUGUGGCAUGUGGAAGGUCCCGAGCCAGGGAUUGAACCUGCGUCAGAGCAGUGAUGAUGCUGGAUCCUUAACCACUAGACCACCAGGGAACUCCCUAUUCCUUUUUAAAUCAGUCUAUUUAGGGGGGCAAAAACAUUAGUGAGUUAACUUAAAAGCAAAAUGCAACAGAAGUGGAGUCCCUGCUGUGGUGCAGUGGGCUCGGCGGUGUCUCUGCAGCGCCAAGAACAUAGGUGCUAUCCCCGGCCUGGCACAGUGGGUUAAGGGAUCCAGCAUUGCUGCAGCUGCAGCCAAGGUUGCAAGUGCAGCUCAGAUCUGAUCCCUGGCCUGGGAACUCUACCAUGGCCGAAAAAGAAAAAAACAAGUGUAACUGAAGUAACUAGAGACAGUCUGAGGAAUUGGAGCAGCAAGGACAGUGGCAGAUGAGUGGGAACCUGCCGGAGGUGAACCAGACAGCAGCCCGCAGCCCAGUCCUCUCACUGCAGGGCCAAACAGAGCCCUGGAUGGCAGGGACAGAGAUAUCCGCUGCGCUUCUGUGUCCAGUGGGAAAGUCCAGGUGGGUUGUCAGGUGUUAGGUAUGGGAAAAGUCCAAUUUGGAGUUCCCAUCGUGGCCCAGCGGAAACAAAUCUAACGAGUAUCCAUGAUGAUGUGGGUUGGAUCCCUGGCUUCCUUCAGUGGGUUAAGCAUCCGGUGUUGCCGUGAGCUGCGGUGUAGGUCACAGAUGCAGCUUGGCUCCUGGGUUGCUGUGGCUGUGGCCUGGGCUGGCAGCUGGAGCUCCUGUUCGACCCCCUAGCCUGAGAAGUUCCAUGUACCAUGGGUGC
rnacentral:lncRNA from 1 species